rnacentral:rRNA from 1 species
AUUGAACGCUGGCGGCAGGCCUAACACAUGCAAGUCGAACGAGUGGCGGACGGGUGAGUAAUGUCUGGGAAACUGCCCGAUGGAGGGGGAUAACUACUGGAAACGGUAGCUAAUACCGCAUACCAUCGGAUGUGCCCAGAUGGGGAUAGCUUGUAGGUGAGGUAACGACUCACCUAGGCGACGAUCCCUAGCCGGUCUGAGAGGAUGACCAGCCGGACGGGAACUGGGACACGGUACAGACGCCUACGGGAGGCAGAAGGGGGGAAUAUGGCACAAUGGGCGAAAGCCUGAUGCAGCCAUGCCGCGUGUAUGAAGAAGGCCUUCGGGUUGUAAAGUACUUUCAGCGAGGAGGCGUUAGCCGCAGAAGAAGCACCGGCUAACUCCGUGCCAGCAGCCGCGGUAAUAC